rnacentral:rRNA from 1 species
GGACGAACGCUGGCGGCGUGCCUAACACAUGCAAGUCGAGCGAGGAGAUCCUCGGGAUGAUCCUAGCGGCGGACGGGUGAGUAACACGUGGGCAACCUGCCUCAUAGAGAGGAAUAGCCUUCCGAAAGGGAGAUUAAUACCUCAUAACAUUGCAGUUUCGCAUGGAACAGCAAUUAAAGGAGUAAUCCGCUAUGAGAUGGGCCCGCGGCGCAUUAGCUAGUUGGUGAGGUAAUGGCUCACCAAGGCGACGAUGCGUAGCCGACCUGAGAGGGUGAUCGGCCACAUUGGGACUGAGACACGGCCCAGACUCCUACGGGAGGCAGCAGUGGGGAAUAUUGCACAAUGGGGGAAACCCUGAUGCAAGCAACGCCGCGUGAGUGAUGACGGCCUUCGGGUUGUAAAGCUCUGUCUUCAGGGACGAUAAUGACGGUACCUGAGGAGGAAGCCACGGCUAACUACGUGCCAGCCGCAGC